rnacentral:rRNA from 1 species
ACGGAAGGCAUCAGUGGGGAAUAUUGGGCAAUGGGCGAAAGCCUGACCCAGCAACGCCGCGUGAAGGAAGAAGGCCUUCGGGUUGUAAACUUCUUUUAUCAGGGACGAAGGAAGUGACGGUACCUGAUGAAUAAGCCACGGCUAACUACGUGCCAGCAGCCGCGGUAAUACGUAGGGGGCAAGCGUUAUCCGGAUUUACUGGGUGUAAAGGGCGCGUAGGCGGGGAUGCAAGUCAGGUGUGAAAUCUAUGGGCUUAACCCAUAAACUGCACUUGAAACUGUAUCUCUUGAGUGUCGGAGAGGUAGAUGGCAUUCCUAGUGUAGCGGUGAAAUGCGUAGAUAUUAGGAGGAGCCCCAGUGGCGAAGGCGAUCUACUGGACGAUAACUGACGCUGAGGCGCGAACGCGUGGGGAGCAAACAGGAUUAGAUACCCUGGUA